AAAGGAAUAGACGGGGGCCCGCACAAGCAGAGGAGCAUGUGGCUUAAUUCGAUGCAACGCGAAGAACCUUACCCGGGUUUGACAUGCAGCUGCGCGUCCCGUGAAAGCGGGAUUCCUUCGAGGGUGCUGCACAGGUGCUGCAUGGCUGUCGUCAGUUCGUGCCGUGAGGUGUUUGGUUAAGUCCAGCAACGAACGCAACCCCUGUGUCCAGUUGCCAACAGGUAGUGCUGGGGACUCUGGACAGACCGCCCGUUCACGCGGGAGGAAGGUGGGGACGACGUCAAGUCAGUAUGGCCCUUACGCCCGGGGCUGCACACGUGCUACAAUGGCCGGUACAGAGGGAUGCGAGGCCGCGAGGCGGAGCCAACCCCCAAAACCGGCCCCAGUUCGGAUCGGGGUCUGCAACCCGACCCCGUGAAGUCGGAUUUGCUAGUAACGGCGCAUCAGCUACGGCGCCGUGAAUACGUUCCCGGGCCUUGUACACACCGCCCGU
rnacentral:rRNA from 1 species